GAGCUCAAAUUUGAAAGCUGGUACCUUCGGUAUCCGCGUUGUAACCUCGAGACACGUUUUCCGUGCGGCGCUAUGGACAAGUUCCUUGGAACAGGACAUCGUAGAGGGUGAAAAUCCCGUACUUGCCAUGGAUGUACCGUGCUUUGCGAUACGUGCUCUAAGAGUCGAGUUGUUUGGGAUUGCAGCUCAAAAUGGGUGGUAGACUCCAUCUAAAGCUAAAUAUCGGGGAGAGACCGAUAGCGAACAAGUACCGUGAGGGAAAGAUGAAAAGCACUUUGGAAAGAGAGUUAAAAGUACGUGAAAUUGUCGAAAGGGAAGCGCUUGAAGUCAGCCAUGCCGCUCAGGACUCAGCCUGGCUUUUGCUUGGUGUAUUUCCUGGGUAGCAAGUCAGCAUUGGUUUGGAUCGUCGGAGAAGCAUAGUCGGAAUGUGGCGCCCUCGGGCGUGUUAUAGCCUUCUAUUGGAUACGACGAUCUAGACCAAGGAACGCAGCGCGCCUUAUGGCGGGUCUUCGGACACCUUCGCGCUUAGGAUGCUGGCGUAAUGGCUUUAAGUGGCCCGUCUUG
rnacentral:rRNA from 1 species